AUUGGGCGUAAGAGUCCGUAGGCUAGUCAUCCAAGUCUGCUGUUAAAGAGCGAGGCUUAACCUCGGUAAAGGCNGUGGAAACUGGAAGACUAGAGUGUAGUAGGGGCAGAGGGAAUUCCUGGUGUAGCGGUGAAAUGCGUAGAGAUCAGGAAGAACACCGGUGGCGAAGGCGCUCUGCUGGGCUAUAACUGACACUGAGGGACGAAAGCUAGGGGAGCGAAUGGGAUUAGAUACCCCAGUAGUCCUAGCGGUAAACGAUGGAAACUAGGUGUGGCCUGUAUCGACCCGGGCCGUGCCGAAGCAAACGCGUUAAGUUUCCCGCCUGGGGAGUACGCACGCAAGUGUGAAACUCAAAGGAAUUGGCGGGGGAGCACA
rnacentral:rRNA from 1 species